rnacentral:rRNA from 1 species
UACGAAGGGGGCGAGCGUUAUUCGGAAUCACUGGGCGUAAAGCGUGCGUAGGCUGUUUUGUAAGUCAGAAGUGAAAGCCCAGGGCUCAACCCUGGAAUUGCUUUUGAAACUACAAAACUCGAAUUCGGGAGAGGAUAGCGGAAUUGUCAGUGUAGCAGUGAAAUGCGUAGAUAUUGACAGGAACACCAGUGGCGAAAGCGGCUAUCUGGACCGACAUUGACGCUGAGGCACGAAAGCGUGGGGAGCAAACAGG